UUAGGUAGGUUCCACAAUCACCUUUUCCUUUCUUUAUAUAUAAAAUAUCACUUAUUGAAAAGCUAUUUGUUGGGUAGGACGCGAUAUUUUGGCUAAGCUAAUUUGCUCUAUAUAGCCAAUUUAUUAUCAAAGCAAAACUCCAUUUUGUACUCCAAUGGUUAAGCAACUAGCUAAGUAUUUUUGCAAACUUGCUAGCAAGUCCUUUUUUUGCACCAUUGGAGUUGCUCUAAGCCACUAAAGGGAAGUUGGCUAAAGAUAGAAUUAGUUAAGGAAAAUGAUGUGUCAUCUUUAGCCAAGUGUUAUUUUAGCUAACCAUUGAGUUUACAUUCGAUAGGUCAUGAUCCCGAAAAAGUUUGCUCUUUCGCUUAUAUGUCUUUGUCGUUAAUGCGCUGUUGCAAUUAUAUGAUUCAUUACAAGUACCCUGUGGCUUGUACCCCGCUUUGUUCGAGAACUCCUGUAAUAAGACUGGCCGAAAAUAAGAGAAAUACGGUUAUGACGAACUUAGAGUGUAAAUGACUUCUUUCUAUUACUAUGAAGAUUAUAAAAGGUGUAAAUACUUUCUUCGUAGAUUUUAUUGAAGGAACUAUUAUAAAACCUGAUGAAUCUGAUAAAGACUUUAAUCGUUCGAUGUGAUGUGAUUAUUUGGUGAUUUGAUGGCUGGUUAAUUCAAUAAAUGAAGAUUUUACUGAAAAUUUUAAUUUUGUUGAGAGUUCUUCUUAGCUAUGGCAUGAAAUUUGCGAAUACAUUGCUCAAUCUAAUGGACCUUUGAUAUAUUAAUUACAUUGGUGGAGCCACAUUGGGUCACGUGACCCCUCAAAUUUUUAAAAAAAAUUAAAGAUUUUUCAUGAAAAAAAAAUGAAACUAGGGAAAAGCACAAAAGGCACGCUGCACUCUUAAUGUCAGUUUCUGCUUUUUGGCCCACUUGUAUAUGUUUAUUAAUUAUAGUGCUCCCAAACUUCCCAACUCUCAAUUCUUAUCAAAUUUUAAAUUAAAUUAAAAAUCAUUUAAUUUUGAAAACUACCAGUUUCUCUCUCAUUCCUUUCCCAAUACAGUCAAUUACUCAAUUCUCAAUUUCUAACGCUAAAAAAAAAUAAAAUUAGCCCACUCAUUGCCUUCUCACACUCUUACUGUCGGCUGCCCAGUCAACAUUCAGGCACCGCUGCCCGCACCGGCACUCCGGCAGGCGGCACCGCAGCACCGCUCCUUGCCUCCUCCGACCAGCCCGCAGGCAGCCAUAUCGCAACACGCCAACAGAGCAUUUUACUUGGUACAACAAAUGGAGAAGCAAAAAGAAGUCAGUAGCACGAAUAGUGGUCCUGGUGUUCAUGAAGUGAGUGCAUUUGUUGCACAGAAGCAUCAAUCUUCUUCUUAUCAUAGGGAUAAGUUCAAGAAAGAUUGGAAGAAGGACAAGUAAGAUAGGUUUUAUGAUUACUGCAAGAAGCCGGGACAUACCAAGGAUGUAUGUUUUAAGCUGGAAGGUUUUCCUCCUGAUUGGUUCACUAAGAAGCAAAGUCCAUCCGGUUCAUCAUCGAGAAUGGUUGCUUAUGUUCAUACUGAAAUUGUUGAUUACACAUAAGACAAUCCUCUUGACUAUGCUGGAGGACCUUCUUAUUCACAUGACAAUGCUGACAAUGGUCAUGAUGCUCUGAUGAUGCAAAACAUAAUGUAGGAAGAAAUGAAAGUUAUGAAGGGCAAGCAGAUUGUUGGAGAAUCUUCAAACAAUCAUCAUGGAGUCUAUGCCAAUUGUUCAGAUUAAGCUGGAUUCCUACAGACUUGUCAUAUCUUCAGUCAACAUCAACUUGCAAAUUUAUUGACAAAAUCUCUUCCUGGUCCUCAACAUCAUAAUCUUGCUUCCAAGCUUGGAAUUGUUGAUCUCACCCAUGUCCAGCUUGAGGGGAGGAUAUGAAGAUUGUAAAGCUAUAGAUACUUUCUUAGUAGAUUGUUGUUGUAAUAAACAGUGGCGGAUCUAGCGUGGGUUCAGUGGAUUCAAUUGAACCCACGUGGAUUCGGGACAAAAGCAGGCAAACUGGGGAAAAACAAAAAUAUAAUAUAUAUAACACAUCGCCUUAUAUAACUCAAAGGUAUUGUAGCUCAAUGAUAAAGCAUGUGUACUACUAUUUGCUCUUCCGCUCAGUGAUCUCAGGUUCGAACCUGGUUAGUGUGUGUUGUCUUUUUCCUUUUUUUUUGUCCGCCCUUUAGGCUUACGUCUUUAUAUUCUUGGUCUUUUUUCUUCUUUUUUUUAAUCCUCCCUUUAUUUUUUUUAUGCUCUCUCUUUUAUCUAUGAUUCUCUCCGUCCUACCAAGUACAAAUGUAGUAAAAGGUAAGAUUUUGUUUAAUUUUCAUUAUCUUUUUGUCCACGUCAUGUUUAUGUUAGCUAAUUGUUAAAGUUUCAUAUUUUGUUAUACAUAUACGUGUAUAUAUAUAGUUUUAACUUUUAACACUUAAUUGAUAAAUUAAUUCAAUGAAAAAAGUCUUAAUAGUUAAUACUCAAUUCGUAGUUUGUAUAACUCUGUAGCUUGUUAAAAAAUUGAUAGUCUUUAAUUACUAUAAAAAAAUAAUUACCAUAUUUUUUUUUGUAAUUAUGUAAUCAAGAAUGAAAGUCACGCUAAGUACAAUGGUUGAAUGGUUUAAUUUUUUUCCUUUUCUUUAAAAAAUUACAACUCCAAAUAGAAAAAUUUUAUUUGAAAAUUAUAUUAAAAUUAUUCCGAACCCACGCGGCCCAAUUCGUAGAUCCGCCAUUGGUAAUAAACAAGUUGUUAAUCCUUAUUGUA